GACGAACGCUGGCGGCGUGCUUAACACAUGCAAGUCGAACGGAAAGGCCCUGCUUGCAGGGUACUCGAGUGGCGAACGGGUGAGUAACACGUGGGUGAUCUGCCCUGCACUUUGUGGUAAGCUUGGGAAACUGGGUCUAAUACCGGAUAGCAGCCAUCUUCAGUGUGGUGGUUGGAAAGUUUUUUCGGUGUAGGACGAGCUCGCGGCCUAUCAGCUUGUUGGUGGGGUAAUGGCCUACCAAGGCGGCGACGGGUAGCCGGCCUGAGAGGGUGUACGGCCACAUUGGGACUGAGAUACGGCCCAGACUCCUACGGGAGGCAGCAGUGGGGAAUAUUGCACAAUGGGCGCAAGCCUGAUGCAGCGACGCCGCGUGGGGGAUGAAGGCCUUCGGGUUGUAAACUCCUUUCGCUAGGGACGAAGCUUUGUUGUGACGGUACCUAGAUAAGAAGCACCGGCUAACUACGUG
rnacentral:rRNA from 1 species